rnacentral:sRNA from 1 species
GCCACGCUCCGAGUACGGGCCGACCCGCCCGCCGCGAGAAAGCGUUGCCGCAGGCAACGACCCGAAGGGCGAAGCGCGCAGCGCUGAGUCAUCCUUCCCCCACCACCA